rnacentral:tRNA from 1 species
GCCGCCUUAGCUCAGUUGGUAGAGCGUUUGCCUUGUAAGCAUUGCGUCACGGGUUCGAGUCCCGUAGGCGGCUCCG